CAACCCUCGGGACCCCGUUCGCGGGACCCGGCGCUGGGGAUCAGCUUGUAAAACAGCUGGCCCUGAAAUCUAGUGGCGGUCCGCCAGCGAUCUCCUCUGUGCAGUAGUUAAUACCUCGCAGCUGGAUAGCGGUCGGGCCACGCCGUAAAACCCCCACUUUCUCAAGG
rnacentral:misc_RNA from 1 species